rnacentral:rRNA from 1 species
UUAAUCCCGAGGUGAAAUCCCGGGGGUCCAACCCGGAACUGCUUUUAAUAGUAGGAGGCCUGAGUUCGAGAGACGUGAGUGGAAUUCCGAGGGGAGAGGAGAAAUUCGUAGAUAUUCUGAGGGACACCAGUGGCGAAGGCGACUCAUUGGCUAGAUACUGACGCGGAGGCGAGAAAGCGUGGGGAGAAAACAGGAUUAGAUACCCUGGUUGUCCACGCCGUAAACUAUGAGAGCUAGGCGUCGGGCAGUAUACUGUUCGGUGGCGCAGCAAACGCAUUAAGCUCUCCGCCCGGGGAGUACGGUCGCAAGAGUAAAACUCAAAGGAAUUGACGGGGGGCCGCACAAGCGGUGGAGCAUGUGGUUUAAUUCGAAGCAACGCGCAGAACCUUACCAGCCCUUGACAUCCCGAUCGCGGUUACCAGAGAUGGUAUCCUUCAGUUAGGCUGGAUCGGUGACAGGUGCUGCAUGGCUGUCGUCAGCUCGUGUCGUGAGAUGUUGGGUUAAGUCCCGCAACGAGCGCAACCCUCGCCCUUAGUUGCCAUCAUUCAGUUGGGCACUCUAAGGGGACUGCCGGUGAAAAGCCGAGAGGAAGGGGGGGAUGACGACAAGUCCUCAUGGCCCUUACGGGCGGGGCUACACACGUGCUACAAGGGUGGUGACAGUGGGCAGAGAGCCCGCGAGGGCGAGAAAAUCUACAAGCGCCAUCUCAGUUGGGAUUGCACUCUGAAACUCGAGUGCAUGAAGUGGGAAUCGCUAGAAAUCGGGGAUCAGAAUGCCGGGGUGAAUACGUUCGCGUCUUGGGUACACCCCGCCCGCCACAAAACGAAAGAGUACGUAUUAACCCGAAGCGGGCUGAGCUAACCGCAAGGGAAGGGCAGGCCAGCCCAACGGGAGGU